UUUUCUUCCCCUGAAGGAUUAAUAAGGAGGCCAACUAUUUGCAGUUGCUUCUACCCCAUCUCUGACAGUUCUUUAACCCCCUGACAAGGAAGGAUCUCAGAAUUUCUCAUUCCUUCUCAGGGUGACAAUUGUUGUGAAUUCUUCCUUGUCUAUUCUUUUUACCUCCUCUUUUUCCAUUUUAGCCUUUCAAUUUGAGUUGGAUUUAUUUCUAUGGUGGUCUAUCACCUAACAGAAAACGUGGUGCACCAAGUAAUGAGUAACUUAGUUUUUAUUAUGUUUUAAAAAAUACAAUAAACAUUUUUUGAGCACUUUCUGUGCACUAGGCAUUUGCUAAAUGCUGGUGACAUGGGUGAGAAAGUGGGGACAGAGGCAGCCAAGUCUCUGAAGAAUCUUGACACAUCCAGUUUGAGAACAUCCCAUCUAACAAGAAACAGCGUAAGAAAAAGCCUGGAAGUAAAUUUGUAGGAUGGAGACAAUUCAGAUAUCACAGAGCUGGCAGAGUUAAUGAGUAUCUUGGACAAUUGCACCAAAUGCAAUGGAUUGGGAUCACUAAAUCAAGACGUAAUUUGAUAGAAAUAAAGAGAUGGGGUCUCUCUCUUCCCCAGGCCGGAGUGCUAGAGUGCACUGGCAUGAUUACAGCUCACUGCAGCCUCGACCUCCUGGGCUCAAUUGAUCCUCUAGCCUCAGCCUCGUAAGUAGUUGGGACUACAGGCGUGUACCACCACAUUUGGCUUUUUUUUUUUUUUUUUGGUAUUUUUUGUAGAGACAAGGUUUUGCUAUGUUGCCCAGGCUAGUCUCGAACUCCCAGGCUCAAGUGAUCCUCCCGCCUUGGCCUCCCAAAGUGC
rnacentral:lncRNA from 10 species